rnacentral:rRNA from 1 species
GACGAACGCUGGCGGGGUGCUUAACACAUGCAAAUCGAACGAAGUGGCGAACGGGUGAGUAACGCGUAAUCAACCUGCCCUUCAGAGGGGGACAACAGUUGGAAACGACUGCUAAUACCGCAUACUGAAGGAGGGGAUUGCGUCUGAUUAGCUAGUUGGAGGGGUAACGGCCCACCAAGGCGAUGAUCAGUAGCAGGUCUGAGAGGAUGAACGGCAAAAUUGGGACUGGGACACGGCCCAGACUCCGACGGGAGGCAGCAGUGGGGAAUCUUCCGCAAUGGACGAAAGUCUGACGGAGCAACGCCGCGUGAGUGAUGACGGCCUUCGGGUUGUAAAGCUCUGUUAAUCCCGACUCGGUACCAGAAUAGAACGCCACGGUUGACUACUUGCCAGCAGCCGCGGUAAUAC